rnacentral:other from 1 species
UGAUUACUGGGCUGUUUGUCAGUAUUCGGGUAUCCCUUGAGCCUAAUUACUUUACCCGGGAACAGGCGUGGAAAGGCUGUGUGCAUGACCGCUUGUCGGUACGCCUAAUACCUUUCUCGUGGUUCCCACUUGAACCGCUGGUUCAAGGUCAAUGUCUACAACGGCGGUUUGGUUUUCAU